GAAGUUGUCUCCUGCUAAGGGGAUUGGGCUCCAGAGGUGGCUAAGAAUUCCGAGUAGACAGAAGCACGCCUCUGAGCUCUUUGAAGGGCCCCUUGCUUGUGUGCCAAGUUACAGAAGGGAGCUCCCCGAGAGGCAGUCCCCAGCAGAAGUCACCGUGGUUAUCACCCAGAAGAGGACACUGAAUUCUCGGCAUCAUGCAUUCAAGGUCAUGGGGCUGGUGAAGGGUUGACCGCAGAUGCCAUUCCAGGCUGAGAGCCUCCUUCACCUUCCCCUGGGCCCGGCACCAUCUCUGACUCAUCUCCCAUCUCCAGCACCUGGCAUCAAGCACACAGUAGGUGCUCAAAAAAAUGCACUUGGAAGAGAUGAAGAUGGAAGAUGUGGAGCUGCCAAUCAAACUUCAUUUGCUCAAGCCACUCAAUUAUUCAUUCAUUUGUUGAGUCAUUCAAUCUGUCAAACACAGCAGCCACCUGUCAAGAGUUCUGAGCCCAGAGCUGUGCAGAGUUCUGCUGGAGAUCCAUCCACAGUCCCAUCACUCACUCAUUCAUCUGCUCACUGCACACAGUGCAGUGAGGGUUACUGUUUGUUGGGGGCUUGGGACAGACCAGUCUAUGAGAUUCUCUCCCCACUCUUGAGAGAGGAACACAGUCUAGGACUGGACCACCAGCAGGGGCUAUAUGUACAUACCACAAGGCUAAGGGGACAGACAGCAAAGGGUGAAGGUCAGACCUGGGCCAGAUAGGUGGAUGAAUAGACAGACAGUAUAGAAAUAGAUGGAGGGAUUGGUUCAGGGAUGGAUGCAUGGAUGUAAAAGAAUUGCCAUGCUCUGGGAGGUUGGGAUAGAACCAGAAUAUACCAGAUCCUGUUCCCACCCUUGAGAGGCUCAUAGCCUAGGGAAUCUAACCUUUGCCAGGAAGAUGGAUGGGUAGAUAACGGAUGGGUGGGCAGAAGGAUGGAUGGAUAGAUGACUAGGUGGACUGGUAUAUGAAUAGAUGGAUAGACAGGUGGAUGGGUGUAUUAAUGGAUGGAUGGAUAAGUCAAUGUGUAGAUGAAUGGAUGGAUACAUUGAUUGGUGUUGGAGAGGUGGACAGACAGAUGGGUGGAAGGAUGGAUAGAUGGGUGAGUGGGUGUGUGGAUGGCUAGAUAGAUGCAUUGGUAAUGGAUGAAUGGGUGAUUAGGUGAAUGAAGGACAGAUAGAUGGUGAGUGGGUGGAUGGGUGAAUGGAUGGGCAGCUGGGUGGGUGAGUGGGUGUGUGGACAAAUGGGUAGAGGAUAGGUGGUGAAUGGGCGUAUUGAUGUGCCCAUGGGCAGCUAGAUGGCUAGGAUGAACAGAGACGAGGAGAGAAGUGGGCGAUGAACUCAAAGUUGCUAAUCAUCUACUGGAUCUGAUAGCAAGCAGAACGAAUGUUCACCUGUUUGACCUUUCCUAUGAAGGAUAUUCAUGACUGACCCAUUUCACAGAUGGUGGGAGCUGGUGGGGGAAAACCGAAGAAGGCAAAACAACACGCUCAUCUGGCCCUCUCUGGGGAAUAGUGGCUGCUGUAUAAUUCUCGGCACUCAAUUUUCCCUGCUCAGAUGAAUGCCAGCCUUCUGACCACAUCCUGGCAAUUGACACUGAUGAUGAUACUAAUAAUAACAAUUAUUAUCACGG